rnacentral:rRNA from 1 species
UACGUAGGGUGCAAGCGUUGUCCGGAAUUAUUGGGCGUAAAGAGCUCGUAGGCGGUCUGUCGCGUCGGCUGUGAAAACCCGAGGCUCAACCUCGGGCCUGCAGUCGAUACGGGCAAACUAGAGUACUGCAGGGGAGACUGGAAUUCCUGGUGUAGCGGUGAAAUGCGCAGAUAUCAGGAGGAACACCGGUGGCGAAGGCGGUUCUCUGGGCAUUACCUGACGCUGAGGAGCGAAAGUGUGGGGAGCGAACAGG